AGCUUGUAUUGUCCUAUUUGGUCACUAUUAACUUAGGAUAAAAACAACAGAAAGCCAGUGUACAUCCAGUUGCUGAAAUAAUAGUUUAAACAGUCCACUUAACAGUUAUGGGACAGAUCAAGAGCAUGUGGCCCUGCAAUGUGUAGCCUGUAUAAUUAAAAAUUGUAAACCGCCCGGAGAGUGCUUGUAGCGCUAUGGGGCGGUAUAUGAGUCCAAUAAAUAAAUAAAUA
rnacentral:lncRNA from 1 species